rnacentral:misc_RNA from 1 species
ACAAUUGUUGGUCUUCCUUAGAUGUUUUAUCAACCAUAAAAAGCGAAUAUUAAUGCAAACAAAGGCAAAAAGAAAUAUCAAGCUUUCAGCCAAAUAAACUAAAAUCAAAUCACUAAAAUUUUAAAAUCUGAAAAGAAGAUAAUACAGUAGUAAGACAAAUUAGAAGAUGUAACAACUGUUAUGCAAAACCAUUGAAAGUUGAAAAUUGUAACAGAAUGCUAACAACUAUCG